rnacentral:rRNA from 1 species
GAUGAACGCUGGCGGCGUGCCUAAUACAUGCAAGUCGAGCGAACAGACGAGGAGCUUGCUCCUCUGACGUUAGCGGCGGACGGGUGAGUAACACGUGGAUAACCUACCUAUAAGACUGGGAUAACUUCGGGAAACCGGCGCUAAUACCGGAUAAUAUAUUGAACCGCAUGGUUCAAUAGUGAAAUACGGUUUUGCGGUCACUUAUAGAUGGAUCCGCGCCGCAUUAGCUAGUUGGUAAGGUCACGGCUUACCAAGGCAACGAUGCGUAGACGACCUGAGAGGGUGAUCGGCCACACUGGAACUGAGACACGGUCCAGGCUCCUACGGGAGGCAGCAGUAGGGAAUCUUCCGCAAUGGGCGAAAGCCUGACGGAGCAACGGCGCGUGAGUGAUGGAGGUCUUCGGAUCGUAAAACUCUGUUAUUAGGGAAGAACAAAUGUGUAAGUAACUAUGCCCGUCUUGACGGUACUUAAUCAGAAAGCCACGGCUAACUACGUG